CAAGGGGCCGGGACCAGAGGGGUGCUCUGCGCUCCCCGUGGGGGUGGGCUGUGCACCUCCAGCAUCACGGGAAAUGGGCACCAGCUGGAUUUAGGUGCAGCAAGAUGGGAAGCCAAUGUCUUCCACUGUCCCCUGCUAGCUGAUGGGGAGGGUCCAGGACUUUACUCACCGUGUCCCGGGAGAGUAAUGGAGGAAAGGAGCUACGAUAGUUGUUGGGGGUCUUUACCAUAAGAAGUUAUUUUGCCCAGUUUUCUUGACAACUGUGUAUCCAUUUAGCACUAAUUCAUAUGUGGGGUGUCCAGCACACACCUCUGGUCCUCUCUCAGACUUUCAAAUGCACUUGGGAAAAAUGGUAGCAUGGGCAGAUCUAGGAUCUUGAAAAGGGGGGUGCAGAUGGUAUGGUGCCUCAUCCUAUAUAACACAGCAUAUAUUUUUCUCCAGGUAAAAAAAAAACUAGAAGCUUUACUAACAUACUUGGGGCCCAGGACUGCACUAUUCAGUUUAAGAUUGAAGCAAAAACAUAUAUAACUUUAUUGGGCUGAGUUAAAAACAAUCGGCAGGGCUGCAAAAUAGGAGGUACGUUACCAGGAGCAGCCAACAGACAGCAGAAUUGCAGAAGAAAGGCUGGCUUGAUUAGUGGAGCAUCAAGACCAUGAAAAAGGAGAGAGGUUCAUUAACACCUGUGCGAUGACAAGUGUAGAAGGACUCAGGUAGAUUUUAAUGAGCCAUGAAUUCAGUUGAGGCUCUCCCUGCUGCCUGAACAGAAAUACUGCUGCCAUUGCCAGGCGGUUGGCUUUAAACUUUGGGUGUACCCCUCAGAUGGUUGUUCCCAUCUCAAAAGCUGAAAGAGGCAGGGCUUUGGGGCCACCUGACUGGGAGCCACGGUCUCCUGAAUUUUAGCUGUGCUGAUCACUUUGUUUAGUAUCACUGGGCAAGCCAGGCUACGUCCGACCGGCUGGGAUUCAACUACAUGGUGCCAUCACAUCAAACCUGGCAAGCUAGCUAUGACCCAAGGACCCUAUUCUAGCAUCCUGGCUCUGGCAACGGCUGAUACCAGAUGCAUCCAGGCAAAGACCCAGCAUUAAGCAGCCCCAUACUGUUUGCACCUGACUCCUUCCUGCACUGCUUGUCAAGACUUCUUGGAGAGACAAUAUCCCAGUAUCCCUCAAAACAGCAGUGAAGUCAGGCAGAAUGAACUCCUCCAACUUGGGUAAAGCUCCCUGGUCUGCGACUCGGUGUUUCAGAGGGCGGUGAUGGAUAGAUCAAGCACCAACAUCUCUCGCCAGACUGGCAGGAUAGGAGACUGAGCUGGGUCUAGAACAAGUGGCAUCCCCCGUAAUGGGAUAUGGCUGAGGAGACAGGGAUGUAAUGCACUGACAUGUCCGAGCAAUCAGCCCAUCCCAGUGGCCUGUCCCGGCCAGUGAGCAAUGCCAGAUGCUUUCGAAGGUGGGAAACUCUCGAGCGGUAAGUUAAACCUGUGGAACUCGCUGCCGCUAAAUAUUAACAAGGCAAGGAGUUUUCCAGGAGUAGGAAAGGGCUCGAAUAGUCAGAAGCUAAUGAUAGAAAGGAUCAUCUUGUGGUUAAGGCACUGGACUGGGCCUCAGGAGGGCAGCUCUGCCACAGCCAGCCUGUGUGCAAGUCACUUCAUCUCUCCGUGCCUUAUUUCCCCAACUGUAAAAUGGGCACGAUAACAGUCAUUUUCUUACCUGUGCCUAGUUUGCUUAUAAGCUUCCUAUGACAGCAACUGUUUCUCUGAGCAGUGCCUAGUACAUAACAGCCCCUAGGUUACCUAGGGCCCAUCAGAUGCUAUUGUAAUACAAUAAAACAAGAGGGACAUGAAGACAAAAGCAAAGAUCUGCUGAAAACCAGACUACACCAGGACUCGAAUGCCAGCUGGGAUAUUGCUAACAGUGACUGUAAUGGACUGUCCACAGCUAUUGCUGCUUUAGUCUGUCUUUCAGGCCUAGGGAUGGAGCCCUUCAUUCGACCAUCUACUUCUAAGGUCCUUAUUUGUGCCAGGAGCUAUUAUACCACAGCAGGUUUUUGGUGCACUUCUGCAGCUCCACAUCAGCCAGCAAAGGAAAAUGUCAUGUACAGCAAGGCCACCGAGGCAGAUGCAAUUGCAACAGCUAGAGGCCAGGUGCUUCACCGGGAAGCGGGCUCCAGGAAGAGGUAAAUGAUCCAAGAAUGACACAUCAGUGACCUGAAGGAAACUGCAAGCAGGACAUGUGCCGGGGUAGGGAUGCAAAGAGGCCUUUCACAGCCAUGAAAGCCGGAGCAUGUUUUUCGGAGAACAGGUCAAUCCGGGGCUCUCGCGCCAAAGGCAGGGCUGUGACCUGCUGCUGAGGAGUGAGAGGACCCAACACAGGAUGGAUCACUCUGUCCGGCUUUUUUCUGCUCUUCCUUGGAAGUGAGGCAGCCCAACCUAUUUGACCCUGAGGGCCAGGUCCAGACCGUGCAUGGGGCUUCUUCUGGGAUGGACAACUUCUCUUCAGUGGCAGGGCAGUGGCUUGUUGGCGUGGCUCCGGAUCCCAAGUUGUGAAGGUCACCGCCACUCAACUUCCUCGCUGUCUUCCCCUGACACGAAUUUGAGUCACCAGCAGAUCCAGGAUUUUGCAAGGGGGGUGGAGGUGCGGAAGCAGCAAUCGGUGCUGCAGAGGUGCUCCACUCCCAGCCUCCACACCAUCCCGAGGCAGCACCGUGCCACGGGAGCAGAAGAUGGGGACUUGUUUAAGUCCCCAAAGCAGACCACAUGCCCCCAGAUAAGACACGCACCUCGCUGUGGGAAGGAAGAAGAAUACAUGUUUCCCAAGUCCUGGCUGCGUCCUGACCUCAGAGGCAGAGGACAAUCUGGAGCAUCAACAAAAGCUAACGUUUUAAACCUUUCACAGCCACUGCUGAUUUGGCAGCAGCUUUUGGCUGCUGAGCCAGAAGCUGCUGUCAAUUUGACAAUGAACCUAACCCCUAACAGUGAACUCCACCCUUCCCUCCCUAGGGCCAAGGUGAGAAGCAUGGUAGCCGUUACAGCUCUCCAGGUCUCUUCCAUUCCAGUGCAAAAAAAUCAGCUUCUCCACAUAGGGCACGCACACCAGGUUUGGAGGGCUGAUUUUUGAGGAAAAGGCAAGGGCGGUGUGUGAGUAAUUUGCAUUGUACAUUGGUAAUAUAUGCAUUCUUUCGCCUAUACAUGUACACGCCCACCAGAGUUUUAUCCCUAAGCAUAAUGCUUUUUUGAAUGCUUCAGGGAAAGCUCUUUAAACAAUGAUGUUUACAAAUACCAUUAGAAGUGCCGUUUGCAUUCGAUGUGGAUCUGAGUGCGUCUGUAGGAUAAAUGGGAGCUAAUAGGAUCCCUGGUUCAUUACCUCUGCAACAAGCAAACAAAUGAAAGACGCGGCAGUUCCUGGUUUACAAGAAGCGCCGUUGAAUUAAGACAUUAUCGGUGAAUUGGAACGUACUGGACAAUGCAGGGUUGCAGUCCGGCAGAGGUAAACCUGGGAAUAAGUGGGAACUGCAAGAUGUACUGAUAGCUGAGAUGGGGCUGUUUGAUUGGUUUUACUCCUGCUCGGGGUGGGCUGCUGUGUUAGAGAUCGUUGCCCUUUUUUUAAUGAGAGGCAAUUAGCCAUGUUAGUCUGAUGUUAAGCAGAAGGCAGGGCAAGGUGGCACCUUAUAGACUAAACUGCAUGAGUUAGUCCAGGGGUCACUGAUGAGUUGUCGUGGGCUGGGUCAGCAACCCCUGCCCCACAAUAGCUCACCAAAGCUCCCUAAGUGGCUCUGGUCUGUGCUGGGCUGGGCAGCUGGGAUGGAGCAGCAUCCAGGAGUGGAAGGGGCAGGUGGAGCCGUGACAGUGCGGGGCUGGGGCCUGGGGCAGAGCCACGAUCCGCUCCCUGCAUGCCCCUGCGACGAGUGCCAGUUCCACGGGUAGGGGCCUAUGGAGAGAGGAUCACAGCUCUGCCCUGGGCCCUGGCCCUGUGCUGCCACCGCCAUGUGAUCCCGGCCUCACCUACCUGUCCUGCUCCUGGAUGCUAGUCCCCAGCCGCCCGCAGCCUCAUCCCAUAUGCCCAGCCACGUGCUCUGCAUGCACGAGUCCUGCUUCUGGCAGUGGGUGCAGGGCAGAUGUGCCAGGGUGCAGGGUCCAGUGGCAGUGGCAGCUGGAAGGGACAGCUGCCAUACUACUCCUGCCCCACACCAUGCCUAAGGGUGGCAGGACCAGCUGUGCACCCCACAGCCCAGGCUGCCUUCUGCGCCUAGGCCAGGUAGGACCGAGGGACCUGCUAUGGACUAUACAAAAUCCCUCAUCUGGCCCAUGGGCCAUGUUAUGCCCACCCCUGACUUAGUCUUCAUGGUGCCAUCCUGCCCCACCUUCUUUCUCAGUAAUGUUAGGCUAAAAGGUCUUGGGACCCAAUCAGCCAUAAAGCCAAUGGAUGCGCUAACAGGAGGAGUCAAGCUCCUUUAUACAGUGAAGACAGCCGCAAACAGCAUGCUACUUCUCAAGUACUAGGUCUCCUGGUAGGUCAUAAGUUAACUGCAGAGUUCCUCCAAUUGCAAACAAAGUGGGGUGAGUAUAUUGAUUCGCAACCUGUGUGUGUGUGUGUGUGUGUGUGUGUGUGUGUGUGUGUGUGUGACCUUGAGAGGAACCAGAGAGAGGAUGCUUCUUGGGCACAGAGCCCACAGGAGUGGCAGGCUGGGGAUUUUUGAGCAAUGAAACUUCUGGCCAUUUUUUAUGCCCAUUGUUUUCCAAGAAACAGGACUUUAUGCACAACUGAUUGUUAUAAACCAGCAAGAUGACACCAAAGAUAUGCUUGAUUCUUAGCAAUGAGUCCUCACAGAAACUGCCUAGUAACAUCCCAAAUAUUAGCUAAUUGCCCAGGUCUGAGGGAUAACCAUUUCUUUGGGUGGCAUUCAGUGAAGUUAAUGGGAGUUUUGCCCUUAGUUUAAAAAAUAUUUGGUUUUCGUCCUUUGGUUUCUAUUUUAAAAUAAUAGUCAAGGCACAGGUUUCAAAGCGCUCAGCAUCCCAGCUGGGACAGAAGAACCUGGCUCCAUUUGAGCACCAGAGCCUGUCUUUAGGUAUCACAAGGAGAGCAGCUGGAUGCUGUGCGUGUCUGAACACCUAUGUAGCUAUGGGGCACUUCGAAGUCUGGCCCUCAAAUUGUUUGAAAAUCUGGAGUGACAAGUUUGCCCUGUCGUAGUCCCCUGAAAAUUUCCCUUUGGCAUCAGUGGGAUGAGGAUUUUACCGCUGGCUUCCGGAAGUGAAGGAAGUGCCUGUUUGCAUCAACUAACUGCAAUGAGUAGGAAUAUAGCACUACAAGGGAUCUCCUGGGUCACUGAAUCUGGUCCUCUGCUACCAGGAGCCACCACGUCAGAUAAUCCCUUCCAUAAAUCAGUCAAGCUCCCUCUGAAAAGUGCUAUGCUUUGUGUAAAACACAUCUUGCAGUUCCAUAAUUCUCUCCCAACAAAGAGGCUUGAUAUACAGCUGCCUAGCUAUCCCUCUGGGCUCUGAGAAGCACACUGGUCAGCUUGAACAUCGAUAUUCUCCAGGCUGUAGUAGAUCUGAGGAAAGGCACUUUGUCCCAGAAAGCUGGUCUAACUUCUCCUCCACUGAUGCAGUUGGUCCAGUAAAAGAUAUCACCAAAAACCCACUUGCUUCUUGAACAUCCACAGCAUUAAGAGAUCCCUUAGGCCACAUCAGACUCUUGCAGCUGUGUAGACCUGUCCGUGUCAGAGGAUCCGCUUGGUGAAAUAAAUGCAACCCCAAUAAAUGCAACCCAAAUAAAGUCAAGUUGCAUGAGCAGGCUGCGAUGCUUACUGUGGGGUUGUCACUCUGUGGCACGCAUGCCAAAAGUGGCACGGGCGGCAGAUCACAGAGCCCAGCAGCUUAUCAGCGGAAAGUGGAGUAGCAGAUUGGGCAGGGAGCACAGGGAGGGAGCAGAAAGCAGAGCAGCAGAUUGGGCAGGAGGUUGAAGUAGCACUUGGGGAGGGCACGGGGCUUAAUUUGUGGCCUGCUUGCCAAAAAGAUUGGCUCCUGCUGCUCUUACUGAUGUUUGUGAGCUCUUAUCUCCCUGAUGUCAGGGUGAGGAAGGAGUCUGGGCAGGCCCUCCUGGUGCACCAGCUGGGCUGAUGAGGGUAAAACGCUAUAACAGCUUUGUUCCUUAUCACAGAAGUCGGCAGAUCUGACUGCAGCGCGACCAGCUCAUCUCUUGCUGAAAUCCUGGUGACACUCCCAUUGCUUGAGCAGAACCAGGACGUUGUCACAUCCGGAGCUGUCUAUGCAGGACUCUCAGUCAGGUUGAUGUGAAUUAACUCUUAAAGGGGAGUAGUAACCGCCCCGUGGACACUCUUACUCUGAGUUAACGUAAGGUUACAGUUUCAAAGAAGAGGGGGGAUACGAUUGUGUGGGGCAGGGAUAUGCUAGUGCCCUGCCGCAACCCCUCUGCCCUGCUGCAGCCCCAGCACCCAGACAGCUUUCCCCAGUGCUGGCAGACACCUGCCCCC